rnacentral:rRNA from 1 species
GGUUAAGUUAGAAAGGGCGCACGGUGAAUGCCUUGGCACUAGGAGCCGAUGAAGGACGGGACUAACACCGAUAUGCUUCGGGGAGCUGUAAGUGAGCUUUGAUCCGGAGAUUUCCGAAUGGGGAAACCCACUGUUCGUAAUGGAACAGUAUCUUUAUCUGAAUACAUAGGAUAUUGAAGGCAGACCCGGGGAACUGAAACAUCUAAGUACCCGGAGGAAGAGAAAGCAAAUGCGAUUUCCUGAGUAGCGGCGAGCGAAACGGAAUUAGCCCAAACCAAGAGGCUUGCCUCUUGGGGUUGUAGGACACUCUAUACGGAGUUACAAAGGAACGAAGUAAAUGAAGCGACCUGGAAAGGUCCGUCAAAGAAGGUAACAACCCUGUAGUUGAAACUUCGUUCCCUCUUGAGUGGAUCCUGAGUACGGCGGAACACGUGAAAUUCCGUCGGAAGCUGGGAGGACCAUCUCCCAAGGCUAAAUACUACCUAGUGACCGAUAGUGAACCAGUACCGUGAGGGAAAGGUGAAAAGCACCCCGGAAGGGGAGUGAAAGAGAUCCUGAAACCGUGUGCCUACAAGUAGUCAGAGCCCGUUAACGGGUGAUGGCGUGCCUUUUGUAGAAUGAACCGGCGAGUUACGAUCCCAUGCAAGGUUAAGCUGAUAAGGCGGAGCCGUAGCGAAAGCGAGUCUGAAUAGGGCGUUUAGUAUGUGGUUGUAGACCCGAAACCAGGUGAUCUACCCAUGUCCAGGGUGAAGUUCAGGUAACACUGAAUGGAGGCCCGAACCCACGCACGUUGAAAAGUGCGGGGAUGAGGUGUGGGUAGCGGAGAAAUUCCAAUCGAACCUGGAGAUAGCUGGUUCUCUCCGAAAUAGCUUUAGGGCUAGCCUCAUGUUGUGAGAGUCUUGGAGGUAGAGCACUGAUUGGACUAGGGGCCCCCAACGGGUUACCGAAUUCAGUCAAACUCCGAAUGCCAAAGACUUAUCCAUGGGAGUCAGACUGCGAGUGAUAAGAUCCGUAGUCAAAAGGGAAACAGCCCAGACCACCAGCUAAGGUCCCCAAGUAUACGUUAAGUGGAAAAGGAUGUGGAGUUGCUUAGACAACCAGGAUGUUGGCUUAGAAGCAGCCACCAUUUAAAGAGUGCGUAAUAGCUCACUGGUCGAGUGACUCUGCGCCGAAAAUUUACCGGGGCUAAACGUAUCACCGAAGCUGUGGAUUGACAUCUUUGAUGUCAGUGGUAGGAGAGCGUUCUAAGUGCAGCGAAGUCAGACCGUAAGGACUGGUGGAGCGCUUAGAAGUGAGAAUGCCGGUAUGAGUAGCGAAAGACAAGUGAGAAUCUUGUCCACCGAAUGCCUAAGGUUUCCUGAGGAAGGCUCGUCCGCUCAGGGUUAGUCGGGACCUAAGCCGAGGCUGAAAAGCGUAGGCGAUGGCCAACAGGUUGAUAUUCCUGUACCACCUCCCCGCCGUUUGAGUAAUGGGGGGACGCAGUAGGAUAGGGUAAGCGCGCUGCUGGAUAUGCGCGUUCAAGCAGUUAGGCUGAUGAGUAGGCAAAUCCGCUCAUCAUAAAGGCUGAGCUGUGAUGACGAGGGAAUUAUAGUACCGAAGUUCCUGAUUCCACACUGCCAAGAAAAGCCUCUAGCGAGGCGGGAGGUGCCCGUACCGCAAACCGACACAGGUAGGCGAGGAGAGAAUCCUAAGGUGAUCGAGAGAACUCUCGUUAAGGAACUCGGCAAAAUGACCCCGUAACUUCGGGAGAAGGGGUGCUCUGGUAGGGUGUAUAGCCCGAGAGAGCCGCAGUGAAUAGGCCCAGGCGACUGUUUAGCAAAAACACAGGUCUCUGCGAAGCCGCAAGGCGAAGUAUAGGGGCUGACGCCUGCCCGGUGCUGGAAGGUUAAGAGGAGGGGUUAUCCUUUGGGAGAAGCUCUGAAUCGAAGCCCCAGUAAACGGCGGCCGUAACUAUAACGGUCCUAAGGUAGCGAAAUUCCUUGUCGGGUAAGUUCCGACCCGCACGAAAGGCGUAACGAUCUGGGCACUGUCUCAACGAGAGACUCGGUGAAAUUAUAGUACCUGUGAAGAUGCAGGUUACCCGCGACAGGACGGAAAGACCCCGUGGAGCUUUACUGUAGCCUGAUAUUGAAUUUUGGUACAGCUUGUACAGGAUAGGUAGGAGCCUGAGAAGCCGGAGCGCUAGCUUCGGUGGAGGCGUCGGUGGGAUACUACCCUGGCUGUAUUGAAAUUCUAACCCGCGGCCCUGAUCGGGCCGGGAGACAGUGUCAGGUGGGCAGUUUGACUGGGGCGGUCGCCUCCUAAAAUGUAACGGAGGCGCCCAAAGGUUCCCUCAGAAUGGUUGGAAAUCAUUCGUAGAGUGUAAAGGCACAAGGGAGCUUGACUGCGAGACCUACAAGUCGAGCAGGGACGAAAGUCGGGCUUAGUGAUCCGGUGGUUCCGCAUGGAAGGGCCAUCGCUCAACGGAUAAAAGCUACCCCGGGGAUAACAGGCUUAUCUCCCCCAAGAGUCCACAUCGACGGGGAGGUUUGGCACCUCGAUGUCGGCUCAUCGCAUCCUGGGGCUGUAGUCGGUCCCAAGGGUUGGGCUGUUCGCCCAUUAAAGCGGUACGCGAGCUGGGUUCAGAACGUCGUGAGACAGUUCGGUCCCUAUCCGUCGUGGGCGUAGGAAAUUUGAGAGGAGCUGUCCUUAGUACGAGAGGACCGGGAUGGACACACCGCUGGUGUACCAGUUGUCUUGCCAAAGGCAUCGCUGGGUAGCUAUGUGUGGACGGGAUAAGUGCUGAAAGCAUCUAAGCAUGAAGCCCCCCUCAAGAUGAGAUUUCCCAUAGCGCAAGCUAGUAAGAUCCCUGAAAGAUGAUCAGGUUGAUAGGUCAGAGGUGGAAGCGUGGCGACAUGUGUAGCUGACUGAUACUAAUCGAUCGAGGACUUAACCAA